rnacentral:rRNA from 1 species
UACGUAGGGCGCAAGCGUUGUCCGGAAUUAUUGGGCGUAAAGAGCUCGUAGGUGGCGUGUCGCGUCUGCCGUGAAAGCCCAUGGCUUAACUGUGGGUCUGCGGUGGAUACGGGCAGGCUGGAGGCUGGUAGGGGCAAGCGGAAUUCCUGGUGUAGCGGUGAAAUGCGCAGAUAUCAGGAGGAACACCGGUGGCGAAGGCGGCUUGCUGGGCCAGUUCUGACGCUGAGGAGCGAAAGCGUGGGGAGCAAACAGG